rnacentral:lncRNA from 1 species
UUUUUUUUUUUUUUUUUUUUUUUUGCCUCAGGUUGCACCCUACCUUCCCCCCACACUCAUGAAUAGUUUUAAGUUUUAAAUGUUAACAUUACAAUUUUUAUUCAUUUGGAAUGUUUUAGGUCCUAGUAGUGCUAGUCCACCCUCAUUGCUCUUCUUUUCCAAAGUUUUUCAGGCUGUUCUUUGAUUUUUUUUUUCUAUUGUGGAACUUUAGGAUCAUCUUGACUAGUUUCAAUUUUUACAAAAGCUGUUAGUAUUUUUAUAUAGGUUGCAUUCAAUAUAUAUACUGUUGAGUGAGAAUUGACAUCCUCACGAUGUCAUCCUAUCCAGUAAUGUGGUAAGUCUUUUCAUUUGUCCCCAGAUGUAUUUUAAAGUUUCCUUCAUAUAGGUCUUGCAUAUUUUUGUUAAAAAUAUUCCAAGGUUUGUUUGGUUUUCUGUUUGUUGUUUAUGGCUAUUGUAAAUGAGGUUUUAUGGUGUGUAAAUUUGAAUGCUAUCUUUUUUUUUUUUUUUUUGGUGCUCUAUUAAACUUACUCUAUUCUCUUA